rnacentral:rRNA from 1 species
GAUUCCCUUAGUAACGGCGAGUGAACUGGGAAGGGCCCAGCGCCAAGUUCUGACACGUGACGUGUUCAGGAGAUGCGGCGUUAGUGCGUUGGCGCAUCGGGCACUGUCUCGUGUCUCAAGUUCCCUUGACAGGGGCUGCCAGAGUGGGUGCUAGUCCCAUAGAGGCUGCGAGGCCGGGUGUGUGCAGGCCAACGUACAUUAGAGUCAGGUUGCUUGAGAGUGCAGCCUAAAGCAGGUGGUAAACUCCAUCUAAGGCUAAAUAUGACAGCGAGACCGAUAGCAAACAAGUACCGUGAGGGAAAGUUGCAAAGAACUUUGAAGAGAGAGUUCAAAAGGACGUGAAACCACUGACAGGCAAACGGGUGGAGCCACGAAGUGUGCCCGGAGGGCGAUUCAGUUGCGGCCAGCUGUUGGCGCGGCGUGCGGUGGCCGUUUGUUUCGGUUUCCCGCGUCGAGUCUGCAAUGGUUGGCGGUAAUGCAUUUUGUCAUUCCGGUGCUAAAGCCACGUCCGAUUAGGUGGCUGGAACGGCCGUAGCGAGUGACUCGAGGAAGGUGACCGUGUGUGCUUGCACUCUGCGGUGUUAUAGCCUCGAGUCGGCGCCGUUGCCUAGCGUGCUGAUCGGUGCAAGUGCUCCGUUUGGAGUAUUGCGAGCAAUGGGCUAGUGAGCUUGUGGCGUGGCGUCGGCGGUGCCAGUGUGGACUUUGUCGCCUUCGGGCGUUCAAAGACGCGGUGGUAUUCGUGGACGCGGCGUGGCUGGCUUGACUGGCUUGUGCAAACUGUGGUGCGAGUAGGUCGGUGUCCACCCGACCCGUCUUGAAACACGGACCAAGGAGCCUAACAUGUGCGCAAGUCGCUCGGUCUUGAAUAGGCCCGGGAGGCGAAAUGAAAGUAAUUGCCACGAAGCUGCGUACGCAGUUGCAGUGGCUGCCCGCCUACUUCAUUAAUUGGUGAUAUGGCGGAGCGGGAGCGCAUACGUUGGUACCCGAAAGAUGGUGAACUAUGCCUGGGCAGGAUGAAGCCAGAGGAAACUCUGGUGGAGGUCUGUAGCGAUUCUGACGUGCAAAUCGAUCGUCAGACCUGGGUAUAGGGGCGAAAGACUAAUCGAACCAUCUAGUAGCUGGUUCCCUCCGAAGUUUCCCCCAGGAUAGCAGGCGCUUGUUUGACGCAGUCUCAUCCGGUAAAGCGAAUGAUUAGAGGUCUUGGGGCCGAAACGGCCUCAACCUAUUCUCAAACUUUAAAUGGGUGAGAUGCCUGACUUGCUUGAUUGAAGCCAGGCAAUUGGAUGUGAGUGCCUAGUGGGCCAGCUUUGGUAAGCAGAACUGGCGCUGUGGGAUGAACCAAACGUCGAGUUAAGGCAUCAAAUGCGUACGCUCAUGAGACCCCAUAAAAGGUGUUGGUUGCUAUAGACAGCAGGACGGUGGCCAUGGAAGUCGGAAUCC